AACGAACGCUGGCGGCAUGCCUAACACAUGCAAGUCGAACGAGACCUUCGGGUCUAGUGGCGCACGGGUGCGUAACGCGUGGGAACCUGCCCUUAGGUUCGGAAUAACUCCCCGAAAGGGGUGCUAAUACCGGAUAAUGUCUUCGGACCAAAGAUUUAUCGCCUUUGGAUGGGCCCGCGUUGGAUUAGCUAGUUGGUAGGGUAAAAGCCUACCAAGGCGACGAUCCAUAGCUGGUCUGAGAGGAUGAUCAGCCACACUGGGACUGAGACACGGCCCAGAAUCCUACGGGAGGAAGCAGUGGGGAAUAUUGGACAAUGGGCGAAAGCCUGAUCCAGCAAUGCCGCGUGAGUGAUGAAGGCCUUAGGGUUGUAAAGCUCUUUUACCCGGGAUGAUAAUGACAGUACCGGGAGAAUAAGCUCCGGCUAACUCCGUG
rnacentral:rRNA from 1 species